rfam:Loxodonta africana unplaced genomic scaffold scaffold_1, whole genome shotgun sequence.
GCAGUGGUGUCUCAGUGGUAGAGUUCUCAUCUUCGAUGAGGGAAACCCAGGUUUGAUUCCUGGCCAAUGCA